UCCGGUUUGUCACCGGCAGUCUCAUUAGAGUGCCCAACUGAAUGUGGCAACUAAUGACAAGGGUUGCGCUCGUUGCGGGACUUAACCCAACAUCUCACGACACGAGCUGACGACAGCCAUGCAGCACCUGUGUCCCGGUUCCCUUUCGGGCACCAAGGCAUCUCUGCCAAGUUCCGGGCAUGUCAAGGGUAGGUAAGGUUUUUCGCGUUGCAUCGAAUUAAUCCACAUAAUCCACCGCUUGUGCGGGUCCCCGUCAAUUCCUUUGAGUUUUAACCUUGCGGCCGUACUCCCCAGGCGGUCAACUUCACGCGUUAGCUUCGUUACCAAGGAAUUACUUCCCCGACAACCAGUUGACAUCGUUUAGGGCGUGGACUAC
rnacentral:misc_RNA from 1 species